CGCGUCUUGACGGGGUGCUGGCAACUGGCCGGCUGAGAUUGCACUGCAGAACCCGAAUACCUGAUCCGGAUAAUGCCGGCGUAGGAAUAUGAGAACACAUCAGCA
rnacentral:ncRNA from 2 species